rnacentral:rRNA from 1 species
AACGAACGCUGGCGGCAUGCCUAACACAUGCAAGUCGAACGAGACCUUCGGGUCUAGUGGCGCACGGGUGCGUAACGCGUGGGAAUCUGCCCUUGGGUUCGGAAUAACAGUUAGAAAUGACUGCUAAUACCGGAUGAUGACGUAAGUCCAAAGAUUUAUCGCCCAAGGAUGAGCCCGCGUAGGAUUAGCUAGUUGGUAAGGUAAAGGCUUACCAAGGCGACGAUCCUUAGCUGGUCUGAGAGGAUGAUCAGCCACACUGGGACUGAGACACGGCCCAGACUCCUACGGGUGGCAGCAGUGGGGAAUAUUGGACAAUGGGCGAAAGCCUGAUCCAGCAAUGCCGCGUGAGUGAUGAAGGCCUUAGGGUUGUAAAGCUCUUCUACCAGGGAUGAUAAUGACAGUACCUGGAGAAUAAGCUCCGGCUAACUCCGUGCCAGCAGCCGCCGUAA